GACCCAUUUUAGCUUUUAUUCGAACUCAGAUCACAGCACGGAGAGGGCGAGGAGGCACCGAACGCAGCGCCGUCACCUCACCGAUCCACCUCCCCAAAAACGAUGUCCUGAGUGCCGAUGAUGGCCACCACGUCUGCCAGCAUAUGGCCCUGGGACAUGCGAUCCAGGCCGGCCAGGUGAGCGAAGCCGGGCGCUUUGAUCUUGCAGCGGUACGGACGGCUGCUGCCAUCUGAGACGAGGUAGACUCCAAAUUCACCCUUGGGGGCCUCGAUGGCCGUGUAGGUGGCUCCGGGGGGCACCUGGUAGCCCUCGGUGUAGAGCUUGAAGUGAUGAAUGAGGGACUCCAUGGAGGUCUUCAUCUCUGCCCGCUUGGGAGGAGAGAUUUUGGCAUCAUCCACUUUGAUUUCUCCCUCGGGCAUCUUAUUGAGGCACUGCAGGAUGAUGCGCAGGGACUGACGCAUCUCCUCCACGCGGCACAGGUAGCGGUCGUAGCAGUCACCCCGAGAGCCGAUGGGGACAUCAAAUUCCACCUGGUCAUAGACGUCGUAGGGCUGCGUCUUACGUAGGUCCCAGUGGAUCCCUGAGCCCCGCAGCAUCACCCCGCUGAACCCAUAGUUGAGCGCCUCCUCUGCUGAGAUGACCCCGAUGUCGAUGGUGCGGUUCUUCCAGAUGCGGUUGUUGGUCAGCAUCUCUUCCACCUCAUCCACCCGGAUGGAAAAGUUCUUCACAAACUCAUAGAUGUCAUCCAUCAGCCCCAGGGGCAGAUCCUGGUGCACACCGCCGGGGCGGAUGUAGGCUGCGUGCAUCCGCGCCCCCGAGACGCGCUCAUAGAACUCAAACAUCUUCUCCCUCUCCUCGAACAUCCAGAAGAAGGGCGUCAUGGCCCCGAUGUCCAACGCGUGCGUGGUGACGGCCAUGAUGUGGUUGAGCAGCCGGGUUAUCUCUGCAAAGAGCACUCGGAUCCACUGAGCCCGGAGAGGAGGACGGAUGUUGAGCAGCUUCUCCACAGCCAGGGCAUAGGCCUGCUCGUUGCACAUCAUGGACACGUAGUCCAGGCGGUCAAAAUAGGGCAGAGCCUGCAGGUACGUUUUGUACUCAAUGAGCUUCUCGGUGCCGCGGUGCAGCAGCCCGAUGUGGGGGUCGCACCUCCUCACCGUCUCCCCGCUCAGCUCCAUCACCAACCUCAGAACCCCGUGGGCAGCCGGGUGCUGCGGCCCGAAAUUGAUGGUCAGGGUGGAGAUCUUCUUGUGAGCGACGGGGUCCUUGUCGUUCCAUGGUGGCGGCACCCACUUCUCCGUCUCCUUGCUGGGGUACAUCACAGCGCCGGCGUAUUGCUGAGCCCACUCCACAUCGGGCUGCCAUUGGUGGCCCCCCCGGGCCGGGCCCGGCCCGAUCCGCGCCGCCGCCGCCCGCAGCCCCACAGACGCCCGCAGUCGCCCCAAUGCCCGCAGCGCCGCCAUCUUGCCCUUGGCACUG
rnacentral:lncRNA from 1 species